ACGCUUAAGCGCGUAAUUAAAUCUCUGAUUAGUAAAACAAUCAGUGGCUCCGUUGUGCCAAGAUGCUGCUCCCCCUGCCUUCUUCUUCUAAUAAACACGUUGCUUACCACCAGUUAGUUGUUCGACGAGAGGCUUUGGACUGAAAGCUUUAUAUGGCUAAGGCAGCAACCCAGAAGCAGUUAAUGUGUUUUGAUCUUCCAUGCAGCAGUCGUGGUUCGGUUUUUAGUUUUUCAAUCCGGGGAGCUGUUAGUAUGCCGGUUUUCCAGUAAAACGACUGUACUGCUCGCGAUGAAGAUUUGAUAUCAUUUUACUGUCGACAGGCCUUUAACUGUCACAAGUAGCUCCAAAUGACAAUGGCAGCAAUAAAAUAGUUAUCUGCACGAAUGUGCAGUUCAUUCUCGUUCCAAGGCUCGUACUUACCAUGGCUCAUGAAUUGAAUUUAUAUGGAUACUUGGAUGGAAAAAGUUUUUCCGAACGAUCGUAGUUGAAAAAAAACUUGUAAGGUGUAAGGAUCUGGACGUCACAUGUAUAAUGUUCACAGAUAUACGUGCGGUGUCGAUCAUCGUGAGGCUGCGAGGAUAGUCAGUCGCAAUUUCUAUUCUGACGGCCUAACUUCCGGAUUUCAUACUUUAUUUCAAGACUGCGAAUGUGGUUAUGAAGGAGCGUCUUGAUUAAAAUAAAAAUUCUUAAAUCUUGUAUUAUUAGUACAUGAACCCCUCGACAAUGUUAUUGGAUGCAUGUAAUGAGGCCUCGAUUGCAUUGUUACAAUAACAAGUCGGUUACUCUCGGUCAUCCGAAGCUGUCAAGCAGGAA